rnacentral:rRNA from 1 species
AAUCAACGCUGGCGGCGUGCCUAACACAUGCAAGUCGAACGCGAAAGUGGCUUCGGCCGCGAGUAGAGUGGCAAACGGGUGAGUAACGCGUGGGUGACCUGCCUUCGAGUGGGGGAUAACGUUUCGAAAGGAACGCUAAUACCGCAUGACAUCCUGCCUUUGAACGGGCGGAGAUCAAAGCUGGGGAUCGCAAGACCUGGCGCUUGAAGAGGGGCCCGCGUCCGAUUAGCUAGUUGGUGGGGUAACGGCUCACCAAGGCGACGAUCGGUAGCCGGCCUGAGAGGGCGGACGGCCACACUGGGACUGAGACACGGCCCAGACACCUACGGGAGGCUG